AACCCAUGUUGAGGAUAUUUCCGCAGGAUCUCCUUGAACCUGUCACAUGUCUUAAAAUGAGACUCCAAUUCCGUUUACACAAAAGAAGAUAUCUUAUUCCUAAGCUU